rnacentral:rRNA from 1 species
AGCGAACGCUGGAGGAAGGAAUAAAACAUGCAAGUCGAACAAACUAAUAGGAAUAAGUAGAGGAAAGGAGAGUACAAAAUAGGAAAAUACAAUUAGGUUCGGACUCACUCAGGGAAACUUGUGCUAAUACCGAAUGUGCCCUUCGGGGGAAAGAUUUAUCGCCAUUAGAGCGGCCCGCGUCUGAUUAGCUAGUUGGUGAGGUAACGGCUCACCAAGGCGACGAUCAGUAGCUGGUCUGAGAGGAUGACCAGCCACACUGGGACUGAGACACGGCCCAGACUCCUACGGGAGGCAGCAGUGGGGAAUCUUGCGCAAUGGGCGAAAGCCUGACGCAGCCAUGCCGCGUGAAUGAUGAAGGUCUUAGGAUUGUAAAAUUCUUUCACCGGGGACGAUAAUGACGGUACCCGGAGAAGAAGCCCCGGCUAACUUCGUG